UGUUUCGGCUAGGGGGCCAUCCCGGCUUACCAACCCGAUGCAAACUGCGAAUACCGGAGAAUGUUAUCACGGGAGACACACGGCGGGUGCUAACGUCCGUCGUGAAGAGGGAAACAACCCAGACCGCCAGCUAAGGUCCCAAAGUCAUGGUUAAGUGGGAAACGAUGUGGGAAGGCCCAGACAGCCAGGAUGUUGGCUUAGAAGCAGCCAUCAUUUAAAGAAAGCGUAAUAGCUCACUGGUCGAGUCGGCCUGCGCGGAAGAUGUAACGGGGCUAAACCAUGCACCGAAGCUGCGGCAGCGACACUGUGUGUUGUUGGGUAGGGGAGCGUUCUGUAAGCCUGUGAAGGUGGCCUGUGAGGGUUGCUGGAGGUAUCAGAAGUGCGAAUGCUGACAUAAGUAACGAUAAAGCGGGUGAAAAGCCCGCUCGCCGGAAGACCAAGGGUUCCUGUCCAACGUUAAUCGGGGCAGGGUGAGUCGACCCCUAAGGCGAGGCCGAAAGGCGUAGUCGAUGGGAAACGGGUUAAUAUUCCCGUACUUGGUGUUACUGCGAAGGGGGGACGGAGAAGGCUAUGUUGGCCGGGCGACGGUUGUCCCGGUUUAAGCGUGUAGGUGUGUGUUCCAGGUAAAUC
rnacentral:rRNA from 1 species